UACGUAGGGUCCGAGCGUUGUCCGGAAUUACUGGGCGUAAAGAGCUCGUAGGCGGUUUGUCGCGUCGGCCGUGAAAACUUGGGGCUUAACCCCGAGCCUGCGGUCGAUACGGGCAGACUUGAGUUCGGCAGGGGGAGACUGGAAUUCCUGGUGUAGCGGUGGAAUGCGCAGAUAUCAGGAGGAACACCGAUGGCGAAGGCAGGUCACUGGGCCGCAACUGACGCUGAGGAGCGAAAGCAUGGGGAGCGAACAGG
rnacentral:rRNA from 1 species